rnacentral:rRNA from 1 species
AUACGUAGGAGGCGAGCGUUAUCCGGAUUUACUGGGCGUAAAGCGCGUGUAGGCGGCUUUUUAAGUUGGCAGUGAAAGGUUCCGGCUCAACUGGGAUUUGCCUGUCAAUACUGGGGAGCUUGAGGGCACCAGAGGAAAGUGGAACUCGCGGUGUAGCGGUGAAAUGUGUAGAUAUCGCGAGGAACACCAGUGGCGAAGGCGGCUUUCUGGGGUGUUCCUGACGCUGAGGCGCGAAAGCGUGGGGAGCGAAGCGGAUUAGAUACCCGCGUAGUCCACGCCCUAAACGGUGAAUACUUGGUAUGGGGGGUAUCGACCCCUUCCGUGCCGAAGCUAACGCUUUAAGUAUUCCGCCUGGGAACUACGGUCGCAAGACUAAA